AUCAACGCUGGCGGCGCGCUUAACACAUGCAAGUCGCACGAGAAAGUGGAGCAAUCCAUGAGUAAAGUGGCGUACGGGUGAGUAACACGUGGGUAAUCUACCUCUUAGUGGGGAAUAACCCUGGGAAACCGGGGCUUAAUACCGCAUAAGCUCGAGAGAGGAAAGCAGCAAUGCGCUGAGAGAGGAGCCCGCGGCCGAUUAGCUAGUUGGCAGGGUAAGAGCCUACCAAGGCAAAGAUCGGUAGCCGGCCUGAGAGGGCACACGGCCACACUGGCACUGAAACACGGGCCAGACUCCUACGGGAGGCAGCAGUGGGGAAUCUUGCACAAUGGGGGAAACCCUGAUGCAGCGACGCCGCGUGAGCGAUGAAGCCCUUCGGGGUGUAAAGCUCUUUCGGCAGGGAAGAUAAUGACGGUACCUGCAGAAGCAGCUGCGGCUAACUACGUGCCAGCAGCCGCGGUAAUACGUAGGCAGCAAGCGUUGUUCGGAGUUACUGGGCGUAAAGGGUGUGUAGGCGGUUGUUUAAGUUUGGUGUGAAAUCUCCCGGCUCAACUGGGAGGGUGCGCCGAAAACUGAAUGACUAGAGUGCGGGAGAGGAAAGUGGAAUUCCUGGUGUAGCGGUGAAAUGCGUAGAUAUCAGGAGGAACGCCGGUGGUGUAGACGGCUUUCUGGACCGUAACUGACGCUGAUACACGAAAGCGUGGGUAGCAAACAGGAUUAGAUACCCUGGUAGUCCACGCCCUAAACGAUGCAUAUUUGGUGUGGGCAGUUCAUUCUGUCCGUGCCGGAGCUAACGCGUUAAAUAUGCCGCCUGGGGAGUACAGUCGCAAGGCUGAAACUCAAAGGAAUUGACGGGGGCCCGCACAAGCGGUGGAGCAUGUGGUUUAAUUCGAGGCAACGCGAAGAACCUUACCAGCCCUUGACUUCCCGAUCGGGGCUCCGGAGACGGAGCUCUUCAAUUGGUCGGUGACAGGUGCUGCAUGGCUGUCGUCAGCUCGUGUCGUGAGAUGUUGGGUUAAGUCCCGCAACGAGCGCAACCCCUGCCAUUAGUUGCCAUCAUUCAGUUGGGCACUCUAGUGGGACUGCCGGUGAUAAGCCGGAGGAAGGUGGGGAUGACGUCAAGUCCUCAUGGCCCUUACGGGUCCAGGGGCUACACACGUGCUACAAUGGUCGGUACAACCGUGGCAGCAACUCCGCGAGGAGGGAGCUAAUCCGAAAAAAGCCGUCCUCAGUUCGGAUUGUAGUCUGCAACUCGAGCUGCAUGAAGCUGGAAUCGCUAGUAAUCGCAGGAUCAGACGCUGCGGGUGAAUACGUUACCCGGGCCUUGUACACACCGCCCGUCACAUCACGAAGUGGGCCGUACUAGAAGCCGGUGCGCUAACCUCGCAAUGAGGGCAGCCGGCCAAGGUACAGGCUCAGGAUUGGGGUG
rnacentral:rRNA from 1 species